rnacentral:sRNA from 1 species
GAUGCAGACGUCACAAAGCUGCCCACAAAAUCUCGUGCCGAUCGAAAAACCGACGAGACCACGAUCUCAGUUUCAAUCUCCGCUGGUCCUAAUUCGCGUCUGAGAAAACGUGUCUCACAAAACUGUGAAUAACUCAACCAAUUUUAAUCCAAAUCCAAUUCUGUAAACUGGAAAAUAACGAUAAAGGACUUGGAAAUAACUCUACCAAAU